rnacentral:rRNA from 1 species
CCUACGGGAGGCAGCAGUCGAGAAUCAUUCACAAUGGGGGAAACCCUGAUGGUGCGACGCCGCGUGGGGGAAUGAAGGUCUUCGGAUUGUAAACCCCUGUCAUGUGGGAGCAAAUUAAAAAGAUAGUACCACAAGAGGAAGAGACGGCUAACUCUGUGCCAGCAGCCGAGGUAAUACAGAGGUCUCAAGCGUUGUUCGGAAUCACUGGGCGUAAAGCGUGCGUAGGCUGUGUCGUAAGUCGGGUGUGAAAGGCGCGGGCUCAACCCGCGGACGGCACAAGAUACUGCGAGACUAGAGUAAUGGAGGGGGAACCGGAAUUCUCGGUGUAGCAGUGAAAUGCGUAGAUAUCGAGAGGAACACUCGUGGCGAAGGCGGGUUCCUGGACAUUAACUGACGCUGAGGCACGAAGGCCAGGGGAGCGAAAGGGAUGAGAUACCCCUGUAGUC